UACGUAGGGGGCAAGCGUUAUCCGGAUUUACUGGGUGUAAAGGGAGCGUAGACGGCAGCGCAAGUCUGGAGUGAAAUGCCGGGGCUCAACCCCGGAACUGCUUUGGAAACUGUGCAGCUAGAGUGCGGGAGAGGUAAGCGGAAUUCCUAGUGUAGCGGUGAAAUGCGUAGAUAUAUGGAGGAACACCGGUGGCGAAAGCGGCUCUCUGGCCUGUAACUGACACUGAGGCUCGAAAGCGUGGGGAGCAAACAGG
rnacentral:rRNA from 1 species